GGCUGGUCCGAAGGUAGUGAGUUAUCUCACGUGAUUGUUCACAGUCAGUUACAGAUUGAACUCCUUGUUCUACUACUUUCCCCCCUCCUCACUACUGCACUUGACUAGUCUUCA
rnacentral:Y_RNA from 1 species